rnacentral:rRNA from 1 species
AUGUUGCUAGAGUCAACACGAGGUCAAAAGUUUUGUAAGAAGGAAACUAUCCAGACAUUGGCAACAUUAUUUGAUAGCUGGCCUGGGAUGGAGACCGACAUCUCAUCUUGCAAUAAGAUUUAUCUUCCCUAUGCAUUUAUUGGCCGAUACAUAUUGUACGUCAUCGACAAAGAGGCACGUCGUCUAUAUAUUAUGGAUCCUAUUCAAUCAUCACAAUCGUCAGAGGAUAAAAACUUGAGGCAUUCACUAAAAUUAAAAAGUUUUUCAAGGGAUUUCAAAGAAGCACUCGAAAUAAAGCUGCCUGGGUGGAAUUUCGAUAUAUCUAAAUGGCAUCGUUUAUUUCCGGCCGGUGUUCCAACGAGUAUAGACGGG